CCUACGGGAGGCAGCAGUAAGGAAUCUUCCACAAUGGACGAAAGUCUGAUGGAGCAACGCCGCGUGCAGGAUGAAGGCUUUCGGGUCGUAAACUGCUUUUAUAUGGGAAGAUUAUGACGGUACCAUAUGAAUAAGGACCGGCUAACUACGUGCCAGCAGCCGCGGUAAUACGUAGGGUCCAAGCGAUAUCCGGAAUUACUGGGCGUAAAGCGUGUGUAGGUGGAUUAAUAAGUGUGAUGCGAAAUCCGGCGGCUCAACCGUUUGGACUGUGUCGCAUACUGUUAGUCUAGAGGACGGCAGAGGUAAGUGGAAUUACGGGUGUAGCAGUGAAAUGCGUAGAUAUCCGUAGGAACACCAAUGGCGAAGGCAGCUUACUGGGCCACACCUGACACUGAGACACGAAAGCGUGGGGAGCGAACAGGAUUAGAUACCCUGGUAGUCCACGCCGUAAACGAUGCAUACUAUUAGUAUGGGGUAUCGACCCCCUGUGCUGAGAAGCUAACGCGAUAAGUAUGCCGCCUGGGGAGUACGAGCGCAAGCUUAAAACUUAAGGAAUUGACGG
rnacentral:rRNA from 1 species